UACGGAGGGUGCAAGCGUUGUCCGGAGUUACUGGGCGUAAAGGACGCGUAGGGGGCGCAUAGCGUCGCACGUGAAGGCCCCCGGCUCAACCGGGGAGGGUCGUGCGAAACGGAUGUGCUUGAGGCAGAGAGAGGCGAGUGGAAUUCCCGGUGUAGUGGUGAAAUGCGUAGAUAUCGGGAGGAACACCAGAGGCGAAGGCGGCUCGCUGGCUCUGACCUGACGCUGAGGCGUGAAGGCGUGGGGAGCAAACAGG
rnacentral:misc_RNA from 1 species